UUUGGUGGUGGGGAGCUUUGCCUGCACAGCAGCCUGGCAGUGGGAAGCAGCAGCAACAGCCAGGUCCUAGUGCUGGCCCAGCUUGCAUCCAAGCUGGGUCAUUCCAGCCCACCUCCAGAAAACAUUGCUGACUCCUGGGCUAUGAUAAGUCUGUGUGUCUAAGUUUGAAUGGUUGCCAACUUACUCAAAUGAACAGUUAGGGAUAUUUAUCGUGAGGAAGCCCUACACAGCACUAACAGAGCUCACUAAGCAGAAUGUCAUUGGUUAUCUCAGAAUUUCCGCAAAGACCCUGGAAUCCCUCACGAAAAUAGAUGAGGAAUCAUUAAUACACCCCCUGUCACUCCAUGUUCAGUCAAGGGGGAAUAAGAUGCAAGCAUCUGAACCCAUCUACAAACUGUGAAAGAAGGUGAGGAGAGUGAUAGAAGCUCUUUAUUGAGUUUCAGCUGGAGAUGAGGAAGGAGGACCUUGGAGCCAGAGUCUGCAAAAAGGACAUAAAAGACUGCAUGAAUACUUGCUCCACAAAAGAAACGAAUUAGAGCAAGACUAAAAGAACAAGCUACAAUGUUUCAGUAUAAUCCAUAGAUCCACUGCAACCCACAGAAAUCACCAAGAGUAACAGAAAAUACCCAAGCAGCCACAAGCAGCUGGCAUGCAGUGACUGAGUUUUCUGGCAACCUGGCCUCUGUCUUCUCCACUUUUAUUAAUCCUCCCUCCAACUGUGCCUUCUUCAUUCCUGCCCUCAGGGCACAGCAUGGUCUGUCCUCUGCUCUGCUGGUUUAUCAUUUGCACAGAAUUGUGAUGGGCUACAUAGCCCAGAAGCCAGCUAAAUACUGACACUGCCUUUUACAUAUUUAAUUGUGACCACCUCUUUUCAUUUGCUUGUAUUACAUAUUUAAUAAAAUUAAAUGUGGUUAUGGUAAAAACAUAAAAUGUGUCUGUGUUUCUGAACUUGGAAACUAUAAUCAUCAAUUAUUACUUGAACUGUGUUCCUGAUUUCCAUAUUGCUGUCAGACUGAAAGCAGGCUCCUCCACACAGGGGUAACAUCACAGAUUGCAUUGUUUAAAGCCCUAUUUUCAAUUCAGUGUAAAAUGUCAGUUCUAUAUUGCUUUUUUAUCCUAUCCACAGCCAGAUGUUUCUCUUAGCUUCUCAUGCUAAAAUAAUGCUGAGAAGGAAGAGAAAUAGAUGAAUUCUAUUGCCUGUAGAGUGCAUGAGCUCAGAUCAGAGCGUUUCCUUCUGGCCUAAAAAUCUCUCUGACUUUAUGAGAGCACUUUUGUUCUAAAGGUAUCUUCUCCAUGGCCAAGUAUUAUUAUUUUAUUAUUUUAUCUUUAUAUUAGAGAUCCUUGCUUGGAAUCAGGACCCCAUUGUGCAAGGCACUGUAUAAAACACAUUAAAGCCUCAUUCAUUUUCCCUACUAGGAAAUGGGACUGUUUCAACAGGAGAUUUUAAAUGCGUUUGCUGCUAGGAUAUGGCUGAUUGUAAAAGGCAGUGUGGAAGAAGGUGCAGAGACAUUUGUGUGAUAAAUAGAGAGAAACAGAGAGAGAGGGAAGAAUUAUUGGUAGAACACAGGUGGUGUGAAGGGAGAUGACAUAAUUAGACAUUCAACAUUCAUAUGUGUUUUUUUUCCGUAAGGUGCACUGUCUGUGUGUGCUGCCCACCACCUUGUUAACCACCAGGACCACAGAGCCUAAUCAUGAUAACUAUGCUGCUCUUACUCAUAGGACCAGAUCUGACUCCCAUGGACUUCAACAGCCAAAAUAAUUUCUCUAGGAAAAUACAAUGCAACCAAGCAACAUGUAUAGAGCAGUCCCGUAUUACAGAAUAGCAAAGAUGAACACAUCCAACUUUAUUAUUUCUUUAAAAAAAAUGACUCAUAACUGUUUGAUGUAAUGUGUCUCAUGUAAAUGUAUGAUGACCUGAAUAAAAAUAGUGAUGUGCAU